rnacentral:tRNA from 1 species
GCUCUGGUGGCUCAAUCGGAUAGAGCGUUGGACUUCUAAUCCAAAGGUUGCGGGUUCAAGUCCCACCCAGAGU